GUUUCCAGACUCGCUAACAGCCAUUUAAUCUCCUGUUCUUACACUUGCUAGCAACUCUAAGCUAACAUUUAGCCUCUUAGCAUAAUUACUUCAUCUUUCUAUACAUUACAAGCUGCACCGAGCUCCCUGUUAUUUACACCGUGUUGCUAUGAGACCGUCGGGCCGGCUCAAAUCUGCCACCUAUGGUUGAUCCAAACAAGGACGAAGCCUCAAAUCUGCAAUCGGGGAUGCGGAUGUGACGUCACUCGUAUCUAUGAGCUGUCUAGUGCCCUGCUGAGCUGUGAUUGGUUUGGAAGCACUCGGGCGACUGGGAAAGCGGAAAUGAGGAGGAUGUCUGACCGUCCGGUGAUGAGCAGAAACAGGGUGAGGAUCACCAAAAGGGAGAAGCCGCCUACAGAUGCUGUGACGACCACCAGGACCUGACCCUGAUCAGCGACCUCAGGAUCUGAAGAAUGUGAGAUGAAUACAUUAAAAAAACGUGUUUGGAGUUAGCGGUGCUGAGGAAGAUGCUGGUCGCAGCAGAUUUGGCUGAGUUGUGCUUGUGAAGCUGUGCUGUGAGGUCCGGCCAAAAGAGGAAACCAGACUUCAUCUACCAGCCAGGCGACUGGGCAAACGCUACCUUCCCAAGGUUUCCAGAGGGGCUUAUUAGAAUGUGUUUGUCUGUUGUGGUCCUGGAGAGUUGUCAUGCAUUUAUGUUAAUUAUAUUUGUGGCUUAUUUUUCUAACUUAGAUUGUUAAGUCUUAUCUGAUUAGUUUUUGCUAUUUCCUUUGUAAAGUAUUUUGAUCUUAUAUGCACAAGUUAGUUUUGUAUGUCAGUUAUUCUCUUCAGUUGGUAAAAUUAAAGUUUAUGAUAUAAAAUAUUGCAUGUUUUACUUUUUGUCUUGAG